CCUGUCUACACGUGGAUCUUUUGCUAACCGUGUUACAGUAUCAAACAGUUCAUCAGUUUGUUUCAGUGAACUUCCGGUCAACUAAAAAUGCAAAUAUAGAACCGGUUACAAUUCACAUUCAGGUCUGACAUUUGACGUUUCUAAUUAAACAACAAAAUGUGAGUAAGAUCUUCCUUCCCUGUAGUUAAAAAGAUUAAUUGAUAAUCUAAUGUUUCGUUAGUGGGCUCUAAAGCCUGGUUCACACUAGCAAUUUCGUGGGCGAUUUUUCUCCUCCUGGCGGAUGUGACUGAAUGAGUGACAUGCAAUAGACUUAGAAAUAUAUAGGUCCAAAACGCG